GUUGCUUGGGCAAUUAAAAUAAGUUCUAAAAAUUUACAACUAAAUAAUGAAUAUUAAAAUCAUUAAAUUAAAUAUAUUACAAAUAGCUAUAAAAAAUGCAGUCUGUGUGGAAUAAUAGCAUAUUUUCUUUACUUUUAAUUAUUUAGUUUAUCUUUAUAUUAUAUUUGCACCAUUAAGCAUUAUGCUUAACGCGUCACUUUUUGCCACGCGUAAGUACUGGAGACCAGGAGAGAGAGCCCAGUAGACCAUAGACUGAGAUUUUUUAGAGUCCAGAUCUGCACUUGAGUCCAGUGUCACCAUCCUCUGCAGUGCAUUUUGGUAGGACUUACUAGGCUCAUUAGUAAUUUUGUAUUUUGUAUUUUGUAUUCAGACAUUAAAAUUUGUUAUGUUGAUUAUGAACUUAUGU
rnacentral:misc_RNA from 1 species